UCCAAUCGAACCCGGAGAUAGCUGGUUCUCCCCGAAAUAGCUUUAGGGCUAGCGUCGAGGUAGAGAGUUGCGUGAAGGUAGAGCACUGAAUAUGUGAUGGCCCCAUCUCGGGGUACUGAGCAUAAUCAAACUGCGAAUGUCACGGAAACAUACUCGGCAGUCAGACAGCGGGUGAUAAGGUCCGUUGUCAAGAGGGAAACAGCCCAGACCAUCAGCUAAGGUCCCAAAAUGUAUGCUAAGUGGAAAAGGAUGUGGAGAUGUACAGACAACUAGGAGGUUGGCUCAGAAGCAGCCAUCCUUUAAAGAGUGCGUAACAGCUCACUAGUCGAAUGACUCUGCGCCGAUAAUUUACCGGGGCUAAGCAUACUACCGAAGCUAUGGAUCCCAAGGGAUGGUAGGGGAGCGUUCCAUGAACGGAGAAGCGCGAUCGAGAGGACGCGUGGAGAUCAUGGAAGAGAGAAUGCCGGUGUGAGUAGCGGAACGUGGGUGAGAAUCCCACGCACCGAAAACCCAAGGUUUCCAGAGGAAGGUUCGUCCGCUCUGGGUAAGUCGGGACCUAAGGCGAGGCCGAGAGGCGUAGUCGAUGGACAACAGGUAGAGAUUCCUGUACUCAUAUAUAUGUGAAGGAAUGACGGAGAGAGGAAGCUGCAGCCAGCGGCUGGAAGAGCUGGUGCAAGCGAGAUAUCGGGAUGGCAGGCAAAUCCACCAUCCGAAACGAGAAGGCGUGAAGCGUACGGAAAGCUAAGGCGAGUACGGAAGGCAGUGGAGGAGCUUCCAAGAAAAGUUUCUAACGAAAGUAUAUGUGACCCGUACCGAAAAUGGACACACAUGGGUGAGGAGAGAAUCCUAAGGUGAGCGAGAGAACUAUAGCUAAGGAACUCUGCAAAAUGACUCCGUAACUUAGGGAGAAGGAGUGCUCAUAGAGAUAUGAGCCGCAGUGAAACGGCCCAAGCGACUGUUUACCAAAAACACAGCUCUCUGCUAAGCCGCAAGGCGAAGUAUAGGGGGUGACGCCUGCCCGGUGCUGGAAGGUUAAGGGGAGGGGUUAACGCAAGUGAAGCCCUGAACUGAAGCCCCAGUAAACGGCGGCCGUAACUAUAACGGUCCUAAGGUAGCGAAAUUCCUUGUCAGGUAAGUUCUGACCCGCACGAAAGGCGUAACGAUUUGGGCGCUGUCUCAGCUGUAGACUCGGUGAAGUCUUAGUACCUGUGAAGAUGCAGGUUACCCGCGACUAGACGGAAAGACCCCAUGGAGCUUCACUGCAGGUUGAUAUUGGGAUUUGAUGCAGCAUGUACAGGAUAGGUAGGAGGCAAAGAGAUGGAUACGCCAGUAUUCAAGGAGCCGCUGUUGGGAUACUACCCCUGUUGUAUUGGAUUUCUAACCGGACGACGUAAAGCCGUUGACGGGACAGUGUCAGUCGGGCAGUUUGACUGGGGCGGUCGCCUCCCAAAGAGUAACGGAGGCGCCCAAAGAUACCCUCAGCUUGGAUGGAAACCAAGCGCAGAGUGCAAAGGCAAAAGGGUGUUUGACUGCGAGACCUACAAGUCGAGCAGGGACGAAAGUCGGGCUUAGUGAUCCGGCGGUGCUGAAUGGAAAGGCCGUCGCUCAACGGAUAAAAGCUACCCUGGGGAUAACAGGCUGAUCUCCCCCAAGAGUUCACAUCGACGGGGAGGUUUGGCACCUCGAUGUCGGCUCAUCGCAUCCUGGAGCUGAAGUCGGUUCCAAGGGUUGGGCUGUUCGCCCAUUAAAGCGGUACGCGAGCUGGGUUCAGAACGUCGUGAGACAGUUCGGUCCCUAUCUGUCGUGGGCGCAGGAAAUUUGAGAAGAGCUGUCCUCAGUACGAGAGGACCGGGAUGGACGCAUCAAUGGUGGACCAGUUGUCACGCCAGUGGCAUAGCUGGGUAGCUAAAUGCGGAAGGGAUAAACGCUGAAGGCAUCUAAGUGUGAAACCCACUUCAAGAUGAGAUUUCCCAUUGCGCAAGCAAGUAAGACCCCUUAAAGACGAUAAGGUAGAUAGGUCAGGAGUGUAAGCAUGGUGACAUGUUAAGCGGACUGAUACUAAUAGGUCGAGGGCUUGACCGA
rnacentral:rRNA from 1 species